UACAGAGGUCUCAAGCGUUGUUCGGAUUCAUUGGGCGUAAAGGGUGCGUAGGCGGCGCGGUAAGUCGGAUGUGAAAUCUCGGAGCUUAACUUCGAAACUGCAUUCGAUACUGCCGUGCUUGAGGACUGGAGAGGAGACUGGAAUUUACGGUGUAGCGGUGAAAUGCGUGAGAUAUCGUAAGGAAGACCAGUGGCGAAGGCGGGUCUCUGGAC
rnacentral:rRNA from 1 species